rnacentral:lncRNA from 1 species
UUAAUCUUCCUAGAAAUUGGAUUUGUUGGCAACCAAAUGUAGGAAAUGUAUGAAAAGUUUAUCUUUCUUCCUUUUUCUCUUCUUUUUUUUCUUCUUUUUUGUUCGAGUAAGAACUUCUUCUUUUCUUUUUGCAAUGGCUUGUCGUCGGCGAUCCAACUUGUACUUGCAGUUAGAUCCACCUUCUUAGUAGGAAUGACUAGGCAUCUCGGUUGGUUCUUCUUCAUCGUCAGCAAUCGAGAUAAUUGAGCAUUCGUCGUUAGAUGACGCAAAUUUUGGGUCGUUGAAGUCCUAAUUUUCGUCAAUUUGCAUGGUUAAAGUCCUAAUUUGUAGAAGUGAUCCCUCAAACUCCAUCCCAUAAUCCCCCCUCUCAUUCUCGUAAUCCCUUCUCUCCAUUCCUUUCCAUUCUCCUCUUCUUCCCUCUUCUUUCAUACUCCCUCUCUCUCUUUCCUCUCGCUUCGUUUCCAUUCUCCUCUUCUUAAUUCCCUCUCUCUUUUCGUAUCCAAAAAUUCAUUUUCUCUCUUUCCCUCUAAUGUCGAAUUCACUAAGAAGGCCACCUUGAGUAGAGCUGGUGGAAGUCGCGAAAAUCGUCGAGUGGAGAGGUGCAAUUGAAGAAGGAAGUGGAUAUUUUUAUUUCUGAUUUUUGUUGAACAAUUGCAGAAACCAUCGCACUCUUGAGGCGGGUUGAUUUUGAUUUUUGUUAAAAUUGGUUGAUUUUGUUAGGCAUUUUGUGGAAUUUAGAGUUGGUGCAAGGUUCCAAUCUGGUGAGUGAGGAAGCACCCGACGGCGGAUGACAUCGGAAAACUCUUAUUCUUCGUUUCUUCGUUUCUUCGUUUCUUCUUCCUCUCUCUUUCUUCUUUCUUUUUUCUUUUAUUCUCUUUCAGUUUUAAAUUUGUUAAUUGAAAACUUCUAAAAAGCAAACAAAAACAAAAUCUAGAAAUUGAAUGAAUUAAAAUUACAUACUACUUGAUCUCUUUCUCUUUCUGUAUGUUGAAAUUAAAUUAUAUAUGUUUGUUAAUUAGGCCAGCUCCUAAAGGAGUCCCUCAAAAUUUCUUGUAUAUCUACAUUGUAAAGCAGAAUGAAAGUGUCUGUGGGUAGAUGGAUGUAAGUAGGGGUGUAAGAAAAAUUCGAUCAACCCCAUCCAACGUGUAACACGGUAUUAUAUGGGAUGGCCGGUUGGAUUAGUUUAAAAUGUGGGUUGGGUUGGAUUGAAAAUUUUGAAUUUUUUCGGGUUGAGUUGGGUUGAAGGGUUGAAUUCCGGUUCAAACCAACCAAACCCGAAUUAAUAUAUAUAUAUAUAUAUAUAUAUAUAUAUAUAUAUAUAUAUAUAUAUAUAUAUAUAUAUAUAUUAUUUAUUUGAUAAAAGUUAAAUAAUUAGAUUAUCACUUUGAAAUUUGCAUUGCAUUCCCCUCUUUUCAUUUUGAACUUUUUUUUAUUGAGAACAAGAACAAUUUUGAACUUUAUAAACAUUAGAAUCUAAAAAAAUAGAAAAAAAAGUAUAACCCGACAAUCCAACCCAACCCAUAUUUUAUGCGUUGGGUUGAAAGCUUAAAUCCUAUUCGGGUUGGCAACCCAACCUACCCAAAAAUAUGGGUUGGGUUGAGAAUGUCUCUCAACCCAACCCAUCCCAACGUGUUUACACCCUAGUUAUAUGUAGAUCUUUUACUUGAUUGGACUACUGUAAGGUUGUGUUUUGUCUAAAUACGGUUAAGGUGGAUGUAAUAUAUUGUUGAUGGAGUCAAAGUUGAAUGAAUAAAGUGCUAAUGGAGCCAAAGUCCAAUCACUUUAAACAAUGGAGAAACAUUAACUCAAUAUUGCUGAUGGAGCCAAAGUUGAGUGAAUAAAGUGCUAAUGGUUUUAGGUAGUUUCUCUAUUUCUUUCUCAAUUAAACCGAAAAAUUCAUGAUUUUUAAGACUUAUCUGUUUUUCAGGAAAGAAACAGAAUCUGGUGAUGGAGAUACAAGGGAUUCUUAUAGUGAUUUUUAAGAAUAGAGAGUGAUAGUGAUAAAUUAGGGAGAUGGGAAGGAAGUGGAAGUAUUUCUUCUGAAGAUGGAGG